AUGCAACGCGAAGAACCUUACCUGGUCUUGACAUCCCGGAGACCCUUAGGAAACUAAGGGGGUGGCUUCCAUCUGGAAGAAUCUGGAGACAGGUGCUGCAUGGCUGUCGUCAGCUCGUGUCGUGAGAUGUUGGGUUAAGUCCCGCAACGAGCGCAACCCUUGCCUUUAGUUGCCAGCAGUUCGGCUGGGCACUCUAAAGGGACUGCCGGUGUUAAACCGGAGGAAGGUGGGGAUGACGUCAAGUCCUCAUGGCCUUUAUGACCAGGGCUACACACGUACUACAAUGGCCGAUACAAAGGGCAGCGACACUGCGAGGUGAAGCCAAUCCCGUAAAAUCGGUCUCAGUCCGGAUUGGAGUCUGCAACUCGACUCCAUGAAGUUGGAAUCGCUAGUAAUCGUGGAUCAGCAUGCCACGGUGAAUACGUUCCCGGGCCUU
rnacentral:rRNA from 1 species